UACGGAGGGUGCAAGCGUUAUCCGGAUUUACUGGGUUUAAAGGGUGCGUAGGUGGGUCUGUAAGUCAGUGGUGAAAUCUCCGGGCUUAACUCGGAAACUGCCAUUGAUACUAUAGGUCUUGAAUUAUCUGGAGGUGAGCGGAAUAUGUCAUGUAGCGGUGAAAUGCUUAGAUAUGACAUAGAGCACCAAUUGCGAAGGCAGCUCACUACGGAUAUAUUGACACUGAGGCACGAAAGCGUGGGGAUCAAACAGG
rnacentral:rRNA from 1 species